rnacentral:rRNA from 1 species
CCUACGGGAGGCAGCAGUGGGGAAUUUUGGACAAUGGGCGCAAGCCUGAUCCAGCAAUGCCGCGUGCAGGAUGAAGGCCUUCGGGUUGUAAACUGCUUUUGUACGGAACGAAAAAGUCUGCCCUAAUACGGUGGGCCCAUGACGGUACCGUAAGAAUAAGCACCGGCUAACUACGUGCCAGCAGCCGCGGUAAUACGUAGGGUGCGAGCGUUAAUCGGAAUUACUGGGCGUAAAGCGUGCGCAGGCGGUUAUAUAAGACAGAUGUGAAAUCCCCGGGCUCAACCUGGGACCUGCAUUUGUGACUGUAUAGCUAGAGUACGGUAGAGGGGGAUGGAAUUCCGCGUGUAGCAGUGAAAUGCGUAGAUAUGCGGAGGAACACCGAUGGCGAAGGCAAUCCCCUGGACCUGUACUGACGCUCAUGCACGAAAGCGUGGGGAGCAAACAGGAUUAGAUACCCUGGUAGUCCACGCCCUAAACGAUGUCAACUGGUUGUUGGGUCUUCACUGACUCAGUAACGAAGCUAACGCGUGAAGUUGACCGCCUGGGGAGGUAACGGUCGCGAGUUAGUAACGUUACGAAUAGAGUUAGACGGCGNGAGACGNGCCGACGGACGACGACGAGGGAGGAGG